rnacentral:snoRNA from 1 species
GGGUCGAUGAUGAUAACUCAUAUUGACAUGAAGAGAGAUGAUUACAUAAAAAUCAUGCUCAAUAGGAUUACGCUGAGACCC